rnacentral:rRNA from 1 species
AUUGAACGCUGGCGGCAUGCUUUACACAUGCAAGUCGAACGGUAACAGGCCUUCGGGUGCUGACGAGUGGCGAACGGGUGAGUAAUGCAUCGGAACGUGCCCAAUCGUGGGGGAUAACGUAGCGAAAGUUACGCUAAUACCGCAUAAGCCCUGAGGGGGAAAGCAGGGGAUCGCAAGACCUUGCGCGAAUGGAGCGGCCGAUGUCAGAUUAGCUAGUUGGUGGGGUAAAGGCCUACCAAGGCGACGAUCUGUAGCGGGUCUGAGAGGAUGAUCCGCCACACUGGGACUGAGACACGGCCCAGACUCCUACGGGAGGCAGCAGUGGGGAAUUUUGGACAAUGGACGCAAGUCUGAUCCAGCAAUGCCGCGUGCAGGACGAAGGCCUUCGGGUUGUAAACUGCUUUUGUACAGAACGAAAGGGACUCUGGUUAAUAACCUUGGGGCGAGAUGACGGUACUGUAAGAAUAAG